rnacentral:rRNA from 1 species
GACGAACGCUGGCGGCGUGCCUAAUACAUGCAAGUUGAGCGCUGAAGGUUGGUACUUGUACCAACUGGAUGAGCAGCGGACGGGUGAGUAACGCGUGGGGAAUCUGCCUUUGAGCGGGGGACAACAUUUGGAAACGAAUGCUAAUACCGCAUAAAAACUUUAAACACAAGUUUUAAGUUUGAAAGAUGCAAUUGCAUCACUCAAAGAUGAUCCCGCGUUGUAUUAGCUAGUUGGUGAGGUAAAGGCUCACCAAGGCGAUGAUACAUAGCCGACCUGAGAGGGUGGUCGGCCACAUUGGGACUGCGACACGGCCCAAACUCCUACGGGAGGCAGCAGGAGGGAAUCUUCGGCAAUGGACGAAAGUCUGACCGAGCAACGCCGCGUGAGUGAAGAAGGUUUUCGGAUCGUAAAACUCUGUUGGUAGAGAAGAACGUUGGUGAGAGUGGAAAGCUCAUCAAGUGACGGUAACUACCCAGAAAGGGACGGCUAACUACGUG